GACGAACGCUGGCGGCGUGCUUAACACAUGCAAGUCGAACGGAAAGGCCCUGCUUUUGUGGGGUGCUCGAGUGGCGAACGGGUGAGUAACACGUGAGUAACCUGCCCUUGACUUUGGGAUAACUUCAGGAAACUGGGGCUAAUACCGGAUAGGAGCUCCUGCUGCAUGGUGGGGGUUGGAAAGUUUCGGCGGUUGGGGAUGGACUCGCGGCUUAUCAGCUUGUUGGUGGGGUAGUGGCUUACCAAGGCUUUGACGGGUAGCCGGCCUGAGAGGGUGACCGGCCACAUUGGGACUGAGAUACGGCCCAGACUCCUACGGGAGGCAGCAGUGGGGAAUAUUGCACAAUGGGCGGAAGCCUGAUGCAGCAACGCCGCGUGCGGGAUGACGGCCUUCGGGUUGUAAACCGCUUUCGCCUGUGACGAAGCGUGAGUGACGGUAAUGGGUAAAGAAGCACCGGCUAACUACGUGCCAGCAGCCGCGGUGAUACGUAGGGUGCGAGCGUUGUCCGGAUUUAUUGGGCGUAAAGGGCUCGUAGGUGGUUGAUCGCGUCGGAAGUGUAAUCUUGGGGCUUAACCCUGAGCGUGCUUUCGAUACGGGUUGACUUGAGGAAGGUAGGGGAGAAUGGAAUUCCUGGUGGAGCGGUGGAAUGCGCAGAUAUCAGGAGGAACACCAGUGGCGAAGGCGGUUCUCUGGGCCUUUCCUGACGCUGAGGAGCGAAAGCGUGGGGAGCGAACAGGCUUAGAUACCCUGGUAGUCCACGCUGUAAACGGUGGGUACUAGGUGUGGGGUCCAUUCCACGGGUUCUGUGCCGUAGCUAACGCUUUAAGUACCCCGCCUGGGGAGUACGGCCGCAAGGCUAAAACUCAAAGGAAUUGACGGGGCCCCGCACAAGCGGCGGAGCAUGCGGAUUAAUUCGAUGCAACGCGUAGAACCUUACCUGGGUUUGACAUGGAUCGGGAGUGCUCAGAGAUGGGUGUGCCUCUUUUGGGGUCGGUUCACAGGUGGUGCAUGGCUGUCGUCAGCUCGUGUCGUGAGAUGUUGGGUUAAGUCCCGCAACGAGCGCAACCCUUGUUCACUGUUGCCAGCACGUUAUGGUGGGGACUCAGUGGAGACCGCCGGGGUCAACUCGGAGGAAGGUGGGGAUGACGUCAAGUCAUCAUGCCCCUUAUGUCCAGGGCUUCACGCAUGCUACAAUGGCUGGUACAGAGAGUGGCGAGCCUGUGAGGGUGAGCGAAUCUCGGAAAGUCGGUCUCAGUUCGGAUUGGGGUCUGCAACUCGACCUCAUGAAGUCGGAGUCGCUAGUAAUCGCAGAUCAGCAACGCUGCGGUGAAUACGUUCCCGGGGCU
rnacentral:rRNA from 1 species